rnacentral:rRNA from 1 species
UACGGAGGGUGCGAGCGUUGUCCGGAAUCACUGGGCGUAAAGGGCGCGUAGGCGGCUUUCUAAGUCAGGGGUGAAAUCCGGCAGCUCAACUGUCGCAGUGCCUUUGAUACUGGAGAGCUCGAGGGAGGUAGGGGUCUGUGGAACUUCCGGUGGAGCGGUGAAAUGCGUUGAUAUCGGAAGGAACGCCGGUGGCGAAAGCGACGGACUGGAUCUCUUCUGACGCUGAGGCGCGAAAGCCAGGGGAGCAAACGGG